CCAAUUUCCAUGAAACUUAAGUGAAUUGUUUACAUCUAUUGACGUAAGCUCCCUUUCGUUUUUUUUUAAUUUCAGAUUUUAAGUUUUGGAUUUAUAGGGCUUUAUUCAUAAAAAAGGGGGGAUUUUCAACACUUCGGACAAUAACUCAAAAAGGCUUUCACCAAUGUCCAUGAAACUUUGGUGAAUUGUUUAUAUCUAUUGUUGUAACAAAUAAUACUUAAUAAAAUCUGAUGAAAACAUAAAAUUUGUAAAAUCUUUAGUUCAAUUUAAAACAUUAAAUUUCUUGUAAAAAUAGGUUCCAUGAAUGUCAUACGUUUGUACUAUUAUUGAAUGGUUGCAAGGAUGAAAGCACAUUAGCAGUCCCUGAGAUACUAACUGUUCCCUGAGGCAUAUAUCAUUUUAUGAUAACAUUUUUACUAUCUAAGCUAUGGAUAAAAAUCAAAUACUGUUUUUGCAUAUAGGAUGUUUUACUCUUGUUAAAAUUGGCUGCAAUUGAAAUCACAAAUGAUACCUUAGCAUUGCAGCUUUUUUAUAGAGUUCAGUUUCGGUGGAAGGGUUGAGCGCAAUAAAAAAUGUUAUAAAACAUAACUAGUCUACAAUAGCAC
rnacentral:lncRNA from 1 species